rnacentral:rRNA from 1 species
GCAAGUCGAGGGGUAACAGGGAGGUGCUUGCACUUCCGCUGACGACCGGCGCACGGGUGCGCACCGCGUAUGAAACCUACCUUUUACAGGGGAAUAGCCUUUGGAAACGAAGAUUAAUGCCCCAUGGUACCUUUCGUAGCAUUACGGGACGGUUAAAGGCUUCGGCCGGUAGAAGAUGGUCAUGCGUCCCAUUAGCUUGAUGGUAAGGUAACGGCUUACCAUGGCAACGAUGGGUAGGGGCCCUGAGAGGGGGAUC